CACAGAAGGGAAUUGGUGAGUAUUUAUUCACCAAGGAGCCCCCGGGGGUUACAAGAAACAAUGGCCACAAGCUAGCAGAGAGCAGAUUUAGAUUGGACAUUAGGAAGAACUUCUUCACAGUUCGAGUGGCCAAGGUCUGGAACGGGCUCCCAAGGGAGGUGGUGCUCUCCCCUACCCUGGGGGUCUUCAAGAGGAGGUUAGAUGAGCAUCUAGCUGGGGUCAUCUAGACCCAGCACUCUUUCCUGCUUAUGCAGGGGGUUGGACUCUAUGAUCUAUUGAGGUCCCUUCCGACCCUAACAUCUAUGAAUCUAUGAAUCUAUUCCACAAGGUCCCUGUAUUUGGGACAAGCCAUUGUCCCUCUAGAGAGCUGUUUAAUUUCUCUCCUGUUGCAAGCCAAAGUUACUAGUUAGGCAAAGCAAAUUAUAUUUAAGUGUAUUUGUGUUUGUCUGUGGAUAUAUAUUUGUAAAUUCUACUCAGAAUGCCACCUGCUAAUUAGACUAUCUUUAUAAGAAGAAAUAUGUUUUCCCCUCCCCUAGGAUUUAAACAGUAAUUAAAUCCUAAUUUCCAGAUGUGUUGCCCUUCAUCUUUAUUUGAGGAGAGAAAUAAUAGCUUAUUGAGAGAAAAGGGCACCUUAAAAAUCUGCAAUAUUUAACGGGUUAGAAAAUAAUUGAAAUGCUUCUCAUGUGCAGAUGGGCUGUUGACCUUGUAAAUCCCAUGAAUUUUAACGGAAGGUGCAUUAUAGACAUUUUCAGGUAUUAUUUGACAAGAUCAUGUCAUUUUAGCUUGUAAAAAUGGGUAUACACUGAAAAAAAUUCUAUUAUCACUAAACAUUUGAGUUUGCAUCUUUCCUAAAUGAUAUCAGUGCCUGGCUACUAAAUGUAAGAAUGUACUGACUUUGUUUUUUUCCAUUUCCGCAGAUGCGGAAGGGGGAGAAACCCAAAUGAUCAUCUUCAUUCAGUGGAUGUUGGUAAUACAUUAAUUAAUGACACAAUCUGAAGCAUGAACCAGAAUUAUAACAUAUACAGAUAUCAACAAGAACAGUCUUUUGAGAUGUUACAAAUCAGAAGUAUUACUCUAUUAUUUAUUCAGUUUAUCCAGCAGCCAAGAUCUUGCCUCUAUAAAUGCUAUGCUGUGAGGAACAACAAUGAUAUAAAGGUAAUAGAGGUAGUAGUGUAUGAGAAUGUCCAAAGACAUAUAUUUAAAGAGAAAUGUCAUGUUCUCCAAAAUAUAAAAGGCACAUGGGAAAGAGAAGUAGGUCUGAUCUUACCAUCUUACCAUUAGCUUCUCAUGUUCCAGUGCAUUCUUUUCUGAAAUCCCACUGAAAUCUGCUGGCAUGCUCUGAAGGAUUAAAACUCCAAGCAGGCUGAUCUAGUCACAGGAUUGGGCCCUAUGUCCUAAAUAUCCAAUUGGCUAAUGUGAAUCAGGCACCCACCCCUCUCAGUGUGAUGAGCUUCUGCAUAUCAGGUAAAAUAGUGCCCUUCCUUAUACUUCAAUACUAUUUGCCUGCUUUAAUGAAAUAUUUGAGAUACAAUUACUAGCCAUUAAUUUAUGAGUUCCAGAUCCCAGGAAUGGGCUUCUGGGGAUACUUCCACAUUCAAUACUCUUACAUUCAACAGAUACAUUCUUUCAGACAUUAGCAUGAUGAGUAUCUGGGAAGAGGUAGCCUGAAUAAGGGUAUAUUGUUAUGCUUUUUAAUGGUGAGCUGCUUAUUUAUGUCUCUUUUAAUAGUCAGAGCUCAUUUGUUUUCACGCAGUUGAAAAGAUGAAAAUAAAUACAGGCAGUCCUUGACUUACAGUGAUUUGCACUUGUGGCGCUCUGCCAUUUACACCCAUGUUAUUACUUACGGCGUUGGAUCCUUGCACUUACGGCAUGACGGCAACUCAGGCGGCACACAAACGUACACGUCACCCAGUCAGUCUGCUUCCUCAUGUGCUCCGGCAUGAUUAUUGAGAAAAUAGCAGCAAGCCAACCUCAGAAGCUACUCAAUAGCAGCCCUUUCAAACUGGAUGCUAGUCAAGGCCUUGGCAAAGAGAAGGUACUGAUGGACAGUCUCCACAAAGUUGGAGUGGAAUGAAGGCCUGAAGAUAGCAAAGAAAAGCGUGAGACUGACCUGAAUCUGACCAAAGUAAAGGUUUCUGCCUGAGUUUGCAGAACCUGAAAACAGCCAUUUGAAGAAGGAUGAAGUGAACCAUGCAUUGCACCAAGAUCUACUGACUCUUGUGGCUUAUGGCCCUCCCUGGGACGGAGGAAGAAGUAAUGUCAGUCUUCAAUAGUUUGCGCUGCUCUGCUGCUCAGGUCAGUAGAAUGGGAUUCUUACGAGGAAACACAACAUAGAAGAAAUACAUCAUCAGAACCUCCCUCAUUGGCUGAUCAGGACUCCUGUGAUCAAAAAACGUGUACAUACAAGCCUUAGAUGCUUGACUAACCAUUCUGUGAGAGUUCCAUCCUUCCAGAUACCUUGGAUCUCCCUGUGCCUAGAAUGACAGACGUACAUCUCCAAAUACUAACAGACAGUUUCGUCAGCCUCAGCUGCUGCCUGCAGAAUGUAUCGCCCUGUAUUGCGGCUAACCAGAACGUAACCACAGCAAGAGCUGGUUAUCCAAGCCUAGUAUUAAGCAGGUUUACAUUUCCAUCACACCAGUGUUGAUUCAAGAAACCUCUGGUGCACUUGCUGCUAUAGUCAACAAAAUUAGCUCACAUGUUUGGUGUGCACUCAUUGAUGUAUUUAAUGCCACCUGUCACAGAAUAAGCCUAGGUACAGAAAAUCAAUAUCUGAGGGACUGAAGAAUAAGACUGACAUUUUCAAGUACACAACUGCAGAGAAAUCAUCUGCAUCAAAGAAAUGAGUAGUGGUGUGUCCUUCAGCUUACCUGACAUAAAUGUUUUUUUCUGGAAAACAUCCCAGUAUCAUAUCUGUCAGUAUAUGGUAGCAAGGACAUGUAUCGACUAUAAACGUGAAAGUAGAAGUUGUGGCCUCUGGGUUAAUGUUGUUUAUAGGCUUUCCUAACAGCAGACCUGAACUCACACUGUUGCAUAAAUAAGAGAUGUCAAGUCCUUGCUAUGUAUAUUUGAACUUGCACUAGAUGUAAUGAAAUGAAAAAGCACUCUUGACUUGUAUAUUUUAUUUACAUUGUAUUGCAUUUGUCUUUUGAGAAAAGCUGUCUUCUCAGAGGGUGGAGAGGAGAAGGGCUGUCAAUCAUAUACUUAUAUUAUGUGGGGUAAAUGAGUGUUGUUAGAUACUAGGAUUCCUCUCCAUCAGAGAAAUCAGCUGCUGAACAAUGUGGAGAGGAGGAAUGCAUAAAGAUUUUGAAAGCUCCCUGAGUAUUCUGAGGUUAGAUGAAAUGCCUGCUGUGAAUUCUGGUGUAGAGUGGGCUUUCAAUGAAAGCUCUUUGUCCACUUUCCCAUUAACAUUGUUUUCUUGUACAGAAGCCAAGGAAAUGGGAUGCUUGCUCUUAGAUUUUUUAUUUUUAAUGGCACAGCAUUAAAAGCUUUCUUUAUUAAAUUUUAAUGAGUCACUAGUGAUAGAACACCAAGGAGCUGGAUAAUAAACUGUGCACCACAAGCCUAUGAGUCAACGGUUUGUACAGUGAUGAGACCCCAAUCCUAUAAAUGUGGCCUCAUCUACAAUACAUAACCCUGGGGUGUACAUUUGUUCUGUGGGAAACGCAUGCCCCUGCAUGUGCGCGUUCAUCAGGACAUGUCUAAUGUGUCUUACAAUAGCUCCCCUAAAGGCAAACACACUUGGCCAAAUCACAUGUGCUAAAGAUCUGGCACUUCAUCUCCAAUAAUUAGGGAUAGAUGCACCCCAAGUGCAUAUAUUCACCUCUGGUUCCAAGCACAAAAAGCAAGCCAGAUAACUUUUCAUUUCAUUUUGUGUUCACUUAGUUUAAGAGCUUGAUUUAUCAUCCAAUAAGUAGUUUACACAGUGUGUUAGAGACAUCAUAAAAUGGAGAUUUGGGCAGCUUUCAACAGCUAUAAAAGACAACAGCUCAUCUUUUCUUUGGUUCCAAGAUGAUGUUGGAUGGGAUUUUACCUUUAUAAUAAAGAUUUUCUCUUACAC